rnacentral:lncRNA from 1 species
UGCACAUUAAAGAAAAAGAGACUCUUAAUAGUUAACCUUGAAGGGCAACUCCAUUCCUUGCAGCUGAUUAGUUAACUGAUUUAUCCUCAGAUCUCUUAUGAGAAGUAGGGAUUGGGGGGAGGGACAGGGUCUCUCUAUGCAGUUCAGGCUGACCUUGAACUCACUGUGUAGGCAGGCUGGCCUCACACUCACAGCGAUCCUCCUGCCUCAGCCUCCCGAGUAGCUAGAACUCCAGGCAUGAACCAUCUCACCCGGCUGGUUUCACCAGUUAAUCCCAGACAACAGGGUUUCUUCAUGAAGGAAAAGGAAGUUAAUAUUAACCUCCUACAGUUUUUAGUAGCUUAUUUCUGCCUUCAUUCCUGACUGAGCAUUCUUACCUGGAGCCCUGGGGGACAGAUACAAAUAAAAAGGGGAAAUCUUCCAGAUUUCCAGUUUUGCAAGGAUCGACACUAGAAAUCGACUGAAAGUUAUUUUUAAUUCACUCACAAGCACUUACCCCAGAUAUGUUUUGAUUCUGUAAACUGAAAGUGAACUUGCACCAAAAUAAAAUCAGCAGAGAAACGCAUUCUGUGUACUCAAUCUGAUUCGGCUCCACGGACAUCUACAGAGCGCAAAACAGGUUCUGCCUCGCGCAAGGUGCUGUGCUGCAGGCUGGAGGAAACGCUGGGGUUAAGAUUUUAGGCCCGGCGUGGCGGCACCCGGGCCUCAUAGUUGUCUGCAGAACGCCCACUGUGACACCGCUGGGCACCUGUACCCCUGCCAGCUGGAGACAGGCUGUGAAGGUCCCAGUGCCAAGGCGAGCAGCCCGGGACACGUGGCAGGAUUGGCAGCAGCAGGCUGGGGUCUCAUUUUGUAAUCACUCUGCUCACGGUGGGGUAGAGGGAGUAGGGGAUGGUGUUCCCCAAAAUCCAGCUUAAGGGUCUGUG